rnacentral:ncRNA from 1 species
AAAAGGUUCGCGAAAAAACGCGCGAUUAAAAGGGAACGCCGUGAAAUCCGGCGACAGUACCCGCUGCUGUGAUUCUCGCCGAGCCUCGGACAACAAUGUCACUGCGAAGUUCUGUGCUUCGCGGGAAGGCGUUCGAGGGGAGAGAUAAGUCAGAAGACCUACCAUUUUC